AACUUUUGGCAACGGAUCUCUUGGCUCUCGCAUCGAUGAAGGACGCAGCGAAAUGCGAUAAGUAAUGUGAAUUGCAGAAUUCAGUGAAGCAUCGAAUCUUUGAACGCAUCUUGCGCUUCUUGGUAUUCUGAGGAGCAUGCCUGUUUGAGUGUCAUUCCAUUUUCUCAACCACACUCCUGGUGUGUGUGGCUUGGAUUGUGGGGGUUUUUGCAGGCUGUGACAAUGAAGUCUGCUCCCCUGAAAUGCAUUAGUAGUAUCUGAGCUUACUGCAAAGGUGUGAUAAUUUAUCUAUGCCAUUGGUAUGCUGCAUGCACUGCUUCUAAAAUGACGUUUGAUGAAAUUUGACCUCAAAUCAGGUAGGACUACCCGCUGAACUUAAGCAUAUCAAUAAGCGGAGGCU
rnacentral:misc_RNA from 1 species